rnacentral:rRNA from 1 species
CAGUCGCCGCGGUAAUACAGAGGGUGCGAGCGUUAAUCGGAUUUACUGGGCGUAAAGCGUGCGUAGGCGGCUUCUUAAGUCGGAUGUGAAAUCCCUGGGCUUAACUUAGGAAUUGCAUUCGAUACUGGGAAGCUAGAGUAUGGGAGAGGAUGGUAGAAUUCCAGGUGUAGCGGUGAAAUGCGUAGAGAUCUGGAGGAAUACCGAUGGCGAAGGCAGCCAUCUGGCCUAAUACUGACGCUGAGGUACGAAAGCAUGGGGAGCAAACAGGAUUAGAUACCCCCGUAGUCCCUGUCUCUUAUAC